AUUCAUUUUCUGCUUAUUCUUCAACUAUAACAUCAGUUAUCUUCUGGAAAUUUCAAACCUGGAUGAUGUUGGUAGAAAACCCAGUGAAGGUUAUGCAAUCCAUCUACUUUUCUCGAGAUUCUAAAUUCUGUUGUUAAACUGGAACAGCAGGAGUUGCAUCCAUGUGCCAUGGAAUCUUUGCUCAUCAUAGAACAGUAUUCACCAGGUUGCGUUUGAUCACUACACCGCUGGCCCUUAGGAAACAUUGCAGGCAGCUGAUGGCCCAACCAUCUGGCACUGAAUGA
rnacentral:lncRNA from 1 species